rnacentral:rRNA from 2 species
UUUUCCCGGGAGACUAUACAUGCAAGUCGAACGCGUUGGCCCAAUUGAUUGAUGGUGCUUGCACCUGAUUGAUUUUGGUCGCCAACGAGUGGCGGACGGGUGAGUAACACGUAGGUAACCUGCCCAGAAGCGGGGGACAACAUUUGGAAACAGAUGCUAAUACCGCAUAACAGCGUUGUUCGCAUGAACAACGCUUAAAAGAUGGCUUCUCGCUAUCACUUCUGGAUGGACCUGCGGUGCAUUAGCUUGUUGGUGGGGUAACGGCCUACCAAGGCGAUGAUGCAUAGCCGAGUUGAGAGACUGAUCGGCCACAAUGGGACUGAGACACGGCCCAUACUCCUACGGGAGGCAGCAGUAGGGAAUCUUCCACAAUGGGCGCAAGCCUGAUGGAGCAACACCGCGUGAGUGAAGAAGGGUUUCGGCUCGUAAAGCUCUGUUGUUAAAGAAGAACACGUAUGAGAGUAACUGUUCAUACGUUGACGGUAUUUAACCAGAAAGUCACGGCUAACUACGUGCCAGCAGCCGCGGUAAUACGUAGGUGGCAAGCGUUAUCCGGAUUUAUUGGGCGUAAAGAGAGUGCAGGCGGUUUUCUAAGUCUGAUGUGAAAGCCUUCGGCUUAACCGGAGAAGUGCAUCGGAAACUGGAUAACUUGAGUGCAGAAGAGGGUAGUGGAACUCCAUGUGUAGCGGUGGAAUGCGUAGAUAUAUGGAAGAACACCAGUGGCGAAGGCGGCUACCUGGUCUGCAACUGACGCUGAGACUCGAAAGCAUGGGUAGCGAACAGGAUUAGAUACCCUGGUAGUCCAUGCCGUAAACGAUGAGUGCUAGGUGUUGGAGGGUUUCCGCCCUUCAGUGCCGGAGCUAACGCAUUAAGCACUCCGCCUGGGGAGUACGACCGCAAGGUUGAAACUCAAAGGAAUUGACGGGGGCCCGCACAAGCGGUGGAGCAUGUGGUUUAAUUCGAAGCUACGCGAAGAACCUUACCAGGUCUUGACAUCUUGCGCCAACCCUAGAGAUAGGGCGUUUCCUUCGGGAACGCAAUGACAGGUGGUGCAUGGUCGUCGUCAGCUCGUGUCGUGAGAUGUUGGGUUAAGUCCCGCAACGAGCGCAACCCUUGUUACUAGUUGCCAGCAUUAAGUUGGGCACUCUAGUGAGACUGCCGGUGACAAACCGGAGGAAGGUGGGGACGACGUCAGAUCAUCAUGCCCCUUAUGACCUGGGCUACACACGUGCUACAAUGGACGGUACAACGAGUCGCGAACUCGCGAGGGCAAGCAAAUCUCUUAAAACCGUUCUCAGUUCGGACUGCAGGCUGCAACUCGCCUGCACGAAGUCGGAAUCGCUAGUAAUCGCGGAUCAGCAUGCCGCGGUGAAUACGUUCCCGGGCCUUGUACACACCGCCCGUCACACCAUGAGAGUUUGUAACACCCAAAGUUAGGUGGGGUAACCUGUAGGAGCCAGCCGCGUAACGCGUAGCAGUUUAC